rnacentral:rRNA from 1 species
CGUCCCACACAGGUGGUGCAUGGUUGUCGUCAGCUCGUGUCGUGAGAUGUUGGGUUAAGUCCCGCAACGAGCGCAACCCCUAUUGUUAGUUGCUACGCAAGAGCACUCUAGCGAGACUGCCGUUGACAAAACGGAGGAAGGCGGGGACGACGUCAAAUCAUCAUGCCCCUUACGUCCUGGGCUACACACGUAAUACAAUGGCGUUUAACAAAGGGAGGCAAAGCCGCGAGGUGGAGCAAAUCCCCAAAAGGCGUCUCAGUUCGGAUUGCAGGCUGCAACUCGCCUGCAUGAAGCUGGAAUUGCUAGUAAUCGUGGAUCAGCAUGCCACGGUGAAUACGUUCCCGGGCCUUGUACACACCGCCCGUCACACCAUGAGAGUCGGGAACACCCGAAGUCCGUAGUCUAACCGCAAGGAGGGCGCGGCCGAAGGUGGGUCUGAUAAUUGGGGUGAAGUCGUAACAAGGUAGCCGUAUCGGAAGGUGCGGUUGGAUCACCUC